rnacentral:rRNA from 1 species
GCUCAGAACGAACGCUGGCGGCAUGCCUAACACAUGCAAGUCGAACGAUGCUUUCGGGCAUAGUGGCGCACGGGUGCGUAACGCGUGGGAAUCUGCCCCUUGGUUCGGAAUAACAGUUAGAAAUGACUGCUAAUACCGGAUGACGACGUAAGUCCAAAGAUUUAUCGCCGAGGGAUGAGCCCGCGUAGGAUUAGCUAGUUGGUGUGGUAAAGGCGCACCAAGGCGACGAUCCUUAGCUGGUCUGAGAGGAUGAUCAGCCACACUGGGACUGAGACACGGCCCAGACUCCUACGGGAGGCAGCAGUGGGGAAUAUUGGACAAUGGGCGCAAGCCUGAUCCAGCAAUGCCGCGUGAGUGAUGAAGGCCUUAGGGUUGUAAAGCUCUUUUACCCG